rnacentral:rRNA from 1 species
UACGAAGGGGGCUAGCGUUGCUCGGAAUCACUGGGCGUAAAGGGUGCGUAGGCGGGUCUUUAAGUCAGGGGUGAAAUCCUGGAGCUCAACUCCAGAACUGCCUUUGAUACUGAGGAUCUUGAGUUCGGGAGAGGUGAGUGGAACUGCGAGUGUAGAGGUGAAAUUCGUAGAUAUUCGCAAGAACACCAGUGGCGAAGGCGGCUCACUGGCCCGGUACUGACGCUGAGGUGCGAAAGCCAGGGGA